AACGAACGCUGGCGGCAUGCCUAACACAUGCAAGUCGAACGAGACCUUCGGGUCUAGUGGCGCACGGGUGUGUAACGCGUGGGAACCUGCCCUUAGGUUCGGAAUAACUCCACGACAGGGGUGCUAAUACCGGAUAAUAUCUUCGGCCCAAAGAUUUAUUGACUUGGUUUGGGCCAGCGUUGGAUUAGAUGGUUGUGAGGGUAAAAGCUUACCAAGGCGCCGAUCAAUAACUGGUUUGUGAGGAUGAUCAGCCACACCUAGACGGGGAAGCGGCCCAGACUCCUACGGGAGGCAGCAAAGGGUAAUAUAGGAACGUCGGCGAAAGGCUGAUCCAGCAAGGCCGCGUGAGUUAUGAAGGCCUUAGGGUUGUAAAGCUCUUUUACCCGGGAUGAUAAUGACAGUACCGGGAGAAUAAGCUCCGGCUAACUCCGUG
rnacentral:rRNA from 1 species